rnacentral:tRNA from 1 species
GGAAGGGUUCACUCAGUGGUAGAGUGCGUGCUUAGCAUGCAUGAUGUCCUGGGUCCAAUUCCCAGUAACUCCG